GCAGGGCAUGCUCCCACUGCACCGUCGCCGCUCAGGGUUAAGCCCCUCCGGUUCCGUCCGCCUGGACGCGGGACGCGGUUAGCACGAGGGGCCGGGCAGCAACAGAGGGCGCGCGCAGCGCGGACAACGGUCUGACCUGGGGCGGGGGGUGCGGGACCCCAGAGGCCUACAAAUACACUGGGCGUCGGCGCUGGAAGCCCCCCUGCGCCAGGGCCCAGCCACGACAAACCUGGGGCAGGGAUUCUUUGUUGGCAGGAGGCUUCGAUCUGAUGCGGGACCCCUGAGGGGCCAAGCCUGGACCAUGGACAAGUGUGAGCACUUGGGGAAAGGAAGUGGCCGGGAGCUGGAGGCAAGAGCCCGUCCCUUGACUCCCCCUCGAAGAAAUCCCCAGAGGCCAUUUCCUGGGUGCAGACCCCAGACUCCUCUCUCCUUGGCCAAGAAUCCAGAGGACGUGGGCCGCAGCCAUGUCCGUUGCUGGCAACUCUAAGGGGGCUCGCCUCCUUUCUCGGACAGCAGAGGCGCCGCUGGCAAGCUAAAGUUCUGGACGCCGAUUGGGUGAAAUCUGAGACGCGUGGAGAUUCCUAGCUCCUUAUUGGCUAUGAUCGCGCUAGACUGUAGCUAAAACCGUCCCUCUGGGAGCCUGGCGGAAUUAGACGCCGAGUGGUGCGGGAGGGAGAGUAGGGAGCCACUGUCCUGCCUUGGACAUGUUACUCUGGCGCUUUCAGGACCAGAGGUCCUGAGUAGAGGCGAGGGCACGGCUUCCACCUCAGUUACUUUCCCUACGUAAUUAUCCAAAAGAGAUGGACAGAACCCUGCCCCCGCCACUUUCUUUCUUUCUUUUUAAAAUCAGCCCUUUUGCAGAGCGCCCGAAUCUCCUCCUCCCAAGUUCCCUUCUUGUUGCUGUGAACAAAUGCCUGGAGACAUCUGGCUCAGAGACCUUGGAGGGACUCCCUCAGAGACUAAUACUGCAUCCAAACCAAAGCUGGAGAAUCUGAGACAAUACUUGAGUUUGCCCUUCAACUCAGCUGUACUCUAAAGGGAAAAACAAGUUAAAAAAAAAAAUUUCCCUAGAUAAUUAGAGAAAUCGUGUAGGAGAGCUCUCUUGGGAAAACAAAGCAAGCCUGUGUCAGUAUUUACUUCUGUUUUCCCAGAGAUGGAAGUCUGGAGGCUUGGUUUUUGUGUUUUGUUUUUCAAUCUGUUUAUAAAAUCGGAAGAGGGUCAUCAUAGCUGGCCCUGGGAAGUAAGAACCCCUUUCCCCUGUUAAUGAAUUUAAUUAUGUAAUUAAAAUUUCUCUUCUCAA